GCCCUUUUAGCUCAACGGCAGAGCGUCAAGCUGAAACCUUGACCAUCAUGGUCCGACUCCACGGGAGGGCA
rnacentral:tRNA from 1 species